rnacentral:rRNA from 1 species
UACGUAGGCAGCGAGCGUUGUUCGGAGUUACUGGGCGUAAAGAGUGCGUAGGCGGUUUUCUAAGUUUGGUGUGAAAUCUCCCGGCUUAACUGGGAGGGUGCGCCGAAAACUGGAAGGCUUGAGUGUGGGAGAGGUAAGCGGAAUUCCUGGUGUAGCGGUGAAAUGCGUAGAUAUCAGGAGGAACACCUGUGGUGUAGACAGCUUACUGGACCAUAACUGACGCUGAGGCACGAAAGCGUGGGUAGCAAACAGG